ACCCUUAUUUUAUUUCUUUUCCUUAAAACAUUAAAAAACCUCUAGAGAACCCAAAGCUUUUUCCGUUAAAAAAAACCCUAAAAUUUUUAAAUGUUCUCUCAACCUCCAGCCGAAUGGCUAAUGUCCAGCAAGGCCCUCCAACGAAGCGGUACGUGGAGAUGUGAAGAGGGCGUUCAUGGGCGUGUCAACGUGAAGUAUGGGAGGUGGAAGCGUGGGCUGAAGCAAUGGCGUGCGUAGAGGCUGGCACGAAGGCAGCAGCAACGCAAGGGGGAAAGGGAAAGGGUUCUGAAAACUCCAAAAACCUGGGCCUACUGGGCUUGGUUCAUUUCAUUCAGUAUUAGGCCAUUGUAAAACUUUUUGGGCCUGUUUAAAAUGCAAUAGUUUUGUAUUUUGGGCCGGGUAAAAUAUGGGUUUUACACUUCUAACAGUUAAAGUGACAUUAAAAUUGCGAUGUUAAGGGAAACCAUUGCAACUAGUUUAAUGAAUCCAUAUUUAUAAAA